CUCCCCUCAUCCUCCAGACCACCUACCCCUGGCGCAAACCCUGUUACAUAAGGGAGAAGCCAGGAGCUAGGAGUUUUCUUCCCAUUAUUGUCAUGCUUAGCCAGGACGAGAGACUAUGGCAAAAAAAGGUCUCUUCAUGGCUGUCCAACAAAUAGUCAGAGGAUCUGAAAUAUGCCAGAAAAACAAUCCUUGGACACAUCGCAGAGUUCCUCUUGGGGAAGAGCUAACCGGUCGUUACCCAGAAUUGAGGCCACGAGGCUACAAAUGGUCCUGCAAAUGGAACCCCGGAUGUCCUUGGAUCACGGACCUCUGGAUUGACCUGCACCCCUGGAAGACUGCCUCUGGAGGAAACCUCAACUGCAGGGCCGCUUCUACGCCCCAGUUCAGCAGGAAGUAGUUAAUGAGUGAUCAACGCCCAUGUCCCAACAGCAAUUGGACUUUCCAGUUCAGAAGGGGAACUGAGGGACUGGGUUAAAGAAACUUCUCUUCCUGGGUCCGCUAGGGGAGGGGUUUCAAAUGCAGGAAUUUCCCAGCUCCUCACCUCAGGCAGCUGGGGCUCUUUGAGCACCUCCUCCACGUGGACCAGGUAAAAUUCUUUGUCUGAUCGUCCCGCUGCAGGAAAGCCAGGUGGGACUCUUUUGUCCCAAAUUCCGCAAAAAGCUCUUGGAGAAGGGGGCUCUGUAACUCGGGGUUGUAGACCAAGUAGCCAAUCUGGUAUCAGAGUCAAAGGUCAAUCACUCCAGAGGAAUUUUGAAAGAACUCCUCUCAUUGGACAAGAACAUGAAUUGGGAGGGAAUAACUCAAGGGUUAAAACUUCAGCUUCUCUUACCUGAAGGGAUAUCCCUCUCUGGGUUCUCUUUCCAUAACAGUGUGGGAGCUGUCUCUCUCUCUCUCUCUCUCUCUCUCUGUCUAAUAAAUCACUCUUCCACGAAACUCUUUGGGUCCA
rnacentral:lncRNA from 13 species